rnacentral:rRNA from 1 species
AGAAUUUGAUCUUGGUUCAGACUGAACGCUGACGGCGUGGAUGAGACAUGCAAGUCGAACGAAGUAGGGAGCAAUCCUUACUUAGUGGCGGAAGGGUUAGUAAUGUGUGGAUAACUUACCUUCUAUCUUCGGGAUAACGAUUGGAAACGAUCGCUAAUACCGUAUGAGGUGAGGAGUGGCAUCACUCCUUAACCAAAGUGGGGGACCUAGAAAUAGGCCUUGCGAUAGAAGAGAGGUCCAUAUGCUAUCAGCUAGUUGGAGAGGUAAUGGCUCACCAAGGCAAAGACGGCUAGGCGGAUUGAGAGGUCGACCGCCAACACUGGGACUGAGACACUGCCCAGACUCCUACGGGAGGCAGCAGUCGAGAAUAAUUCGCAAUGGGCGAAAGCCUGACGAUGCGACGCCGUGUGAACGAUGAAGGCCUUCGGGUUGUAAAGUUCUGUCACUUGUGAACAAGGUUACUGUGUGAAUAACAUAGUAAUUUGAGUGUAACAGGAGAGGAAGCACCGGCUAACUCCGUGCUAGCAGCUGCGGUAAUACGGAGGGUGCAAGCGUUAGUCGGAAUUACUGGGCGUAAAGGGUGCGUAGGCGGGGAUAUAAGUCAGAUGUGAAAAACCGAAGCUCAACUUCGGCAGUGCAUCUGAAACUGUAUUUCUAGAGGGAGAGCGGAGAAAACGGAAUUCCACGUGUAGCGGUGAAAUGCGUAGAUAUGUGGAAGAACACCUGUGGCGAAAGCGGUUUUCUAGCUUACCCCUGACGCUGAGGCACGAAAGCAAGGGGAGCAAACAGGAUUAGAUACCCUGGUAGUCCUUGCCUUAAACUAUGUAUACUUGGUGUUGUUAGGCUCAACCCUGACAGUACCGUAGCGAACGCGUUAAGUAUACCGCCUGGGGAGUACGCUCGCAAGGGUAAAACUCAAAAGAAUUGACGGGGACCCGCACAAGCAGUGGAGCAUGUGGUUUAAUUCGAUGCUACGCGAAGAACCUUACCUGGACUUGACAUGCACCUGACCGCCGUAGAAAUACGGUUUUCUAGCAAUAGACAGGUGCACAGGUGCUGCAUGGCUGUCGUCAGCUCGUGCCGUGAGGUGUUGGGUUAAGUCCCGCAACGAGCGCAACCCUUGUCGUUAGUUGCCAACACGUAAUGGCGGGCACUCUAGCGAGACUGCCUAGGUUAACUAGGAGGAAGGUGAGGAUGACGUCAAGUCCGCAUGGCCUUUAUGUCCAGGGCUACACACGUGCUACAAUGGUCGGUACAGAAGGCAGCAGAACCGCGAGGUGAAGCAAAUCCUAAAAGCCGGCCCCAGUUCAGAUUGGAGUCUGCAACUCGACUCCAUGAAGAUGGAAUUGCUAGUAAUGGCGGGUCAGCAACACCGCCGUGAAUACGUUCCCGGGUCUUGUACACACCGCCCGUCAAGUCAUGGGAGUUGGUUUCACCCGAAGUCGCUCACCCAACCGCAAGGAGGGAGGCGCCUAAGGUGAGGCUGAUGACUGGGACUAAGUCGUAACAAGGUA